rnacentral:rRNA from 1 species
CCUACGGGGGGCAGCAGUGGGGAAUAUUGGACAAUGGGCGAAAGCCUGAUCCAGCCAUGCCGCGUGUGUGAAGAAGGCCUUCGGGUUGUAAAGCACUUUCAGUGGGGAAGAAAGCCUUGGGGCUAAUACCCUCGAGGAAGGACAUCACCCACAGAAGAAGCACCGGCUAACUCCGUGCCAGCAGCCGCGGUAAUACGGAGGGUGUGAGCGUUAAUCGGAAUUACUGGGCGUAAAGCGCGCGUAGGCGGUCUGAUAAGCCGGUUGUGAAAGCCCCGGGCUCAACCUGGGAACGGCAUCCGGAACUGUCAGGCUAGAGUGCAGGAGAGGAAGGUAGAAUUCCCGGUGUAGCGGUGAAAUGCGUAGAGAUCGGGAGGAAUACCAGUGGCGAAGGCGGCCUUCUGGACUGACACUGACGCUGAGGUGCGAAAGCGUGGGUAGCAAACAGGAUUAGAUACCCGGGUAGUC